rnacentral:lncRNA from 1 species
GAUGAGAAGAGAUCACUGUCCAGACGGAGCCUCAUCAACAUCGGAAUCACAGGCCUGUGUCACCUCACCCUACCCAGGCAGGACUUCCUUUCGAUUCAAAAGAUUGUAAAGAGGUCCUGAUCAAGACCAUAAUGAAAUGACUUGCUGGGUCAUAAAACCACGAAGACAGUCAAGCCACACUUUUGAAUAAAAUCCUGCAGUAGCUGGUGGAAGUUUUGAUAUAUGGUUCAGAAAAUACACAUUUUAAAAUUCACAGAAGCUUCAAAGCCCUGGUCGGACAUAAAUUCCAAUCCGUUUUCCUGUAACAGUAAAAAAUCCGAAGGAUGCUCGUUCGCCAACUCUCAGUAUGUGUCGCAGGUACACAGUCGCUCUCUGCAUGCAGGACGCACAGCGCGUUUAUUUCUGCCUCGGCGUAUAUUUUAAAAUAAAUUACCCCAGGAAACAAAAUGUUUGAACACACUGUGUUCAACUAUGAUCCGACAAAGGAGGCAAAACCUUCCUUUCCUUUCAAAGAGCCUGUAUCAUAUUUGGCGAAACUGUGGGGUGCUCGAGGGAUUUGAAAGCAGCACUCGGCUACUCUGAGAUCCCCCUCUAGAGUCAGUGGGCGGGGUCCCCCUUCAUCCUGUCUCUAUGCUUCUUGCCUUCUGCUCGGGAGUUUCAAAUGUAGGAAGAGUU